rnacentral:lncRNA from 1 species
AAGCUGGCUGUGCCUUUCGGUUCGUGCCGUAACCGUUCUGACGUACAGGAUUAAUAAAGAACUGUUUGAAAACCGCCAGCCUAAGGAGCUUCUUUGCAGCCAUUACAAUAUAUUUAUUAAAAAAGACAGAGAGAGAAGCCCGGCCCGAACCGACCCGAACGUAAUGGUCGGCUCGGGCUUGGGCUUAAGAUCUUACCUCUAGUUCACACUAAACAUGAUUCACACAUCAAAUUCUUGUCCACUGCUUCUGUUUUGAUGUGCGUCAAAUUUGCUGCUCGAUACUUGUCCAAAAGUCUGUCAGUAAGUCUGAUGUCGCAUGUAGGAGGAGCUACUGUCAAACAUUUUUAGCCUGAUCCCUACAUGGAAGACGUAGAAUAGUUGAUCUUUUAAAAUAUGUAUUUUUCAUGUUUUGUCGUAAUUUUUCAAUGGAACAUUCCGGCGGGCACAAGCAAAAAUGGAAAAGUCCAUUGUGACCAAAUGAAGGGGGAUUAAUAUGAUCAGAAGACUUGCUUAAGAUAAACUAGUAGAGCCAACACCUUAUAUGCUGUUUUAUAACUUAUUUAUUUUCAUAAUGAUGGCAUAAGGAAGUGUAACACAAAAAAAUUAAUUCUAUUUAUUGCAUUUUUGGGAUACCCUUUGAGUAUUUUCAUAUUGUGACCGACCCAGCGCCAUCUUGUCACAUUUGCGACGUACAUCUGAUGAUCCAGAACAUGACGAGGACGAACAGGAAAAACAAUUAGGAAUAUAAUAUUCGGCGGACAAGAUAAAAGGAGGUGCCUAGAGAAAUGCAUAGAGUCCUUGCUCCCCACUAUGAAUUCAUUGAGGAAGUCAGAAUGUGAUGGGAGGAUUGCUGCGCCAGGGUCAUUUUACAGAGUAUGAAAGAAGGCAAUAAAGCCCCCAAUCAACAGGGAUAAAAUGGAAGCCAACUUUGCUCUGGUGAAGGCCCUUCCCAUUCUCUUUCCCCCAGUGGCACCUCCAUCAAAGAAACUGGGGUGUGCUAGUGAAGCUUUACUGCAUGUUCAGGAGUCAACAGAAGAUCCAAACGUCUUCAUCCAGAAGAGAGGCCUGUCAAGUCCAGUCUUGGUGUUCGAUGGCAGCAGAUGAAUCGUUGCUAUUGGUUUGAUGCCAGUGACGUUUGAAAAAGAAAAGCUUCACGAGGGUCUGAUUUUCUAAAUGGCAUAUUAUUACACACUACAUCUGACCUACACAAAAUGCGUGGCCACCCUUCUGUCAUUCAGACAGAUCCUUCAGGAUACGAUUCACAAGCGGGACAGCACCACCAUGAAAGAGCAUUAAAGUAAAGAAUUUGUUGGAAGAUGAACUGCUUUUGCAGUUCAAUGUUUAUGUCUGUUCUUUAGAUGAGUAUUCUAAUUGUGUUGUUAAAGAAACUGUUGUAUUCCUAGAAAAUUUGGGUACAUUUGUAACACAAAUCUCAGUU